CACGUGAGCAACCUGCCUUUCANAGGGGGAUAACAGUUGGAAACGACUGCUAAUACCGCAUAACGCUGCGAUGGGGCAUCCCGAUGCAGCCAAAGGAGCAAUCCGCUGGAAGAUGGGCUCGCGGCCGAUUAGCUAGUUGGUGGGGCAACGGCCCACCAAGGCGACGAUCGGUAGCCGGACUGAGAGGUUGAUCGGCCACAUUGGGACUGAGACACGGCCCAGACUCCUACGGGAGGCAGCAG
rnacentral:rRNA from 1 species